rnacentral:rRNA from 1 species
UACGUAGGGGGCGAGCGUUAUCCGGAAUUACUGGGCGUAAAGCGCACGCAGGCGGUUCGCCAAGUUUGGAGUGACAGUUGUCGGCUCAACCGACAAAGGACUUCAAAAACUGGUGAACUUGAGGACGAGAGAGGAACAUGGAACUCCAGGUGUAGUAGUGAAAUGCGUAGAUAUCUGGAAGAACACCAAUGGCGAAGGCAAUGUUCUGGCUCGUUUCUGACGCUCAGGUGCGAAAGUCAGGGGAGCGAACGGG